rnacentral:rRNA from 1 species
AUACGGAGGAUCCGAGCGUUAUCCGGAUUUAUUGGGUUUAAAGGGUGCGCAGGCGGCCAUUUAAGUCAGCGGUUAAAUCGUGGGGCUCAACCCCAUUCUGCCGUUGAUACUGGGUGGCUUGAUUGCGGUCGAGGUUGGCGGAAUUCGUUGUGUAGCGGUGAAAUGCAUAGAUAUGACGAAGAACACCGAUCGCGUAGGCAGCUGACCAGACCGCAAAUGACGCUCAUGCACGAAAGUGCGGGGAUCGAACAGGAUUAGAUACCCUGGUAGUCCGCACGGUAAACGAUGAAUACUUGUUUUCGGCGAUAUAAUGUCGGAGGCAAAGCGAAAGCGAUAAGUAUUCCACCUGGGGAGUACGCCGGCAACGGUGAAACUCAAAGGAAUUGACGGGG